rfam:Gossypium raimondii Chr02_contig_34, whole genome shotgun sequence.
UAUUAAAAAAUUAUCCAUUUUUACUGUUAAAAACUGACAUUGCUAAUAAGAUAACCAAACAUGUGGCUCAUUCUGACAUACAAGAUCAAUUUUUAACAGUAAAAAUGGAUAAAUUUUAACA